rnacentral:lncRNA from 1 species
CUUUCUCCUCGCUCCUCCGACGCACAUCAGACCACUGGAAGGGGGUGGGAAACCUGGAUCCUGGGUUGUUUUAGCUGGGAGCUGAGUCUAAGGGACUUUUUUUUUUUUUUUAAUGGCAGAGCGUGGCUUGUUUUGUUAAAACUGCCGCCAGUUGUUGCAACAGCUCCGAGUUAGAAUAAUAGAUGCAGUGUUCAGUUUUUAAUAUAUGUGUUCCCUGUUUUCUCUGCUCUUUUUAUGGCGGGGGGUGGGGGACAAAAAAGUGUAAAACAAGAUCCGUGCCGCAAAGGCAAUUUAAACCUAACAUCCCAACCUUCAUGCAGCCAUUCUACAAGGAGUUGUUGAGCACCUGCUGUCUAUCUACAGAAAUCUUGAAAUGUGGAACAGAGAUGGAAAUAUAGCAUGCAAGUCAGAAUGAAUUUACUACAAUCACAGCCUUGAUUGGGGGAGACUUUGGGCACUGUGAGUGGAGGACAUGCCUAUUUCCACAUAAACAAGGGCAGCAUCAGCAGGUGGUGAAAUGAAAGCAUGGAUCAAGGAUUCAGAGGAAGCAGAAGACUACUAUAACUAGAGAUUUUGAGAAACUUAAAUCUUCACGCCACUCCCCACUCUCUUGACAAGAAACUAGGUUCCCAUCCCUAUAUAAGUCAGGAUGUUUGAACCAUAGCAAGCUAGAGGAUUUGGAAUCGUCCAGGCAAGUGACAUCUUUCACACUAGGAUAAGCAAAUAAUAAUAUAAUAAUUCAAAUUUUUAUUUUCUAAGAACGAAGAGAAUAGAAUUGAAAUUGGGUGCUCACUUCGGUGGCACAUAUACUAAAAUUGGAACAAUACAGAGAUGAUUAGCAUGGCCCCUGCACAAGGAUGGCACGCAAAUUUGUAAGCAUUCCAUAUUUUUCAAGUCUGCAAAAUAACCAGCUACCAUCAUGAUGACAAGAUCAAAUCCACACAUAAAAACACCAACCAUAAAUGUAAAUGGGCUAAAUGCCCCAAUUAAAAGACACAGAAUGGCAAGCUGGAUAAAGAACCAAGACCCAUCGGUAUGUUGUCUUCAAGAGAUCCAUCUCAGAUGCAAAGAUACACAUAGGCUCAAAAUAAAAGGAUGGAGGAAAAUUUACCAAGCAAAUGGAAAACAGAAAAAAGCAGGGGUUGCAAUCCUAGUUUCUGACAAAAUAGACUUUAAACCAACAAAGAUUAAAAAAAAAGACAAAGACAUUACAUAAUGGUAAAGUGUUCAAUUCAGCAAGAAGAGCUAACUAUCCUGAGUAUAUAUGUACCCAAUACAGGAGCACCCAGAAUCACAAAGCAAGUUCUUAGAGACCUUCAAAGAGACUUAGACUCCCACACAAUAAUAGUGGGAGAUUUUAACACCCCACUGACAAUAGUAGACAGAUGAUUCAGAUAGAAAAUUAACAAAGAUAUUCAGGACCUGAAUUCAGUUCUGGGUCAAGUGGACCUGACAGAUAUCUGCAGAACUCUCCACCUAAAAACAACAGAAUAUGUAUUCUUCUCAUUGCCACAUGGCACUUACUCUAAAGUUGACCACAUCAUCAGAAGUAAAACACUCCUCAGCAAAUGCAAAAGAACUGAAAUCAUAAACAGUCUCUCAAACCACCAUGCAAUCAAAUUGGAACUCAAGAUUAAGAAAUUCACUCAAAACCACACAACUACAUGGAAAUUGAACAACCUGCUCCUGAAUGAUUCUUGGGUAAAUAAUGAAAUUAAGGCAGAAAACAAGAAGUUCUUUGAAACUAAUGAGAAUGAAGAAACAAUGAACCAGAAUCUCUGGGAUACAGUGAAAGCAAUGUUAAGAGGAAAAUUUACAGCACUAAAUGCCCACAUCAAAAAGCUAGAAAGAUGUCAAGUUAACAAGCUAACAUUACAACUGAAGGAACUAGAGAACCAAGAGCAAACAAAUCCCAAAGCUAGCAGAAGACAAGAAAUAAGCAAGAUCAGAACUGAAAUGAAGGAGUUAGAGACACAAAAAACACAUUAAAAAAAAUAAAAUCCAGGAGGUGUUUUUGUGAAAAAAUUAACAAAAUAGAUAGACUGCUAGCAAGACUAAGGAAGAAAAGAGAGAAGAUUGAAACACAAUCGGAAGUGAUGAGGGCUAUCACCAAUGGCCCCACAGAAAUACAAACAACCAUCAGAGAAUACUAUCAACACCUCUAUACACAUAAACUAGAAAAUCUAGAAGAAACUGAUGAACUUCUGAACACAUACCCCCAAUCCCAUAACUGAACCAGGAAGAAUUCAAAUCCCUGAAUAGACCAAUAAUGAGUCCUGAAAUUGAGGCAGUAAUAAAUAGCUUACUAACCAAAAAAAGUCCAGAACCAGAUGGAUUCACUUCAUAGGCACGAAGAAUUGGUACCAUUUGUACUGAAACUAUUCCAAAGAAUUGAAAAGGAGGGACUCUUCCCUAACUCAUUCUAUGACAUCAGCAUUAACCUGAUGCCAAAACCUGGCAGUGAUAGAACAAAAAAAGAAAUCUUCAGGCCAAUAUCCUUGAUAAGAAUCAAUGCAAAAACCCUCAAUAAAAUACUAGCAAACUGAAUCCAGCAGCACAUCAAAAAGCUUAUCCACUAUGAUCAAAUAUGGAACCCAAAAAGAGGCCAAAUAGCCAAGACAAUCCUAAGCAAAAACAAAGCUGGAGGCAUCAUGCUACCUGGCUGAAAAAUAUACUACAAGACUACAGUGACAAAACAGCAUGGUACUGGUACAAGAACAGACACAUAGACCAAUGGAAGAGAAUAGAGAACCCAGAAAUAAGACUGCACGCCUCCAACCAGCUGAUCUUCAACAAACUUGACAAAAACAAGCAAUAGAGAAAGGAUUUUCUAUUUAACAAAUGGUGCUAGGAGAACUAACUGGCUAACCAUAUGGAGAAAAUUGAAACUGAACCCUUUUCUUACACCAUAUACAAAAAUCAACUCAAGAUGGAUUAAAGACAAUUGUAAAACCCAAAAUUAUAAAAACCCUAGAAGAAAAUCUAGGCAAUACCAUUUAGGACAUAAGCACGGGCAAAGAUUUCAUAAAGAAAAUGCCAAAAGCAAUUACAACAAAAGCAAAGAUUGACAAAUGGGAUCUAAUUAAACGAAAGAGCUUCUGCACAGCAAAAGAAACUAUCAUCAGAGUGAACAGACAACCUAUAGAAUGGGAGAAAAUUUUUGCAAACUACCCAUCUGACAGAUGUCUAAUAUCCAGCAUCGACAAGGUACUUAAAUAAAUUUACAAGAAAAAAACAAGCUCAUUAAAAAGUGGGCAAAGGACAUGAACAGACCCUUCUCAAAAGAAGACAUGCGACUGGGUGCAGUGGCUCACGCCUGCAAUCCCAGCACUUUGGGAGGCCAAGGCGGGCAGAUCACGAGGUCAGGAGAUCGAGACCAUCCUGGCUAACAUGGUGAAACCCCGUCUCUACUAAAAAAUACAAAAAAUUAGCUGGGUGUGGUGGCGGGCACCUGUAGUCCCAGCUACUCGGGAGGCUGAGGCAGGAGAAUGGUGUGAACCUGGGAGGUGGAGCUUGCAGCAGUGAGCAGCUGAGAUCGCGCCACUGCACUCCAGCCUGGGCAACAGAGUGAGACUCCGUCUCAAAAAAAAAAAAAAAAAGAAAGCUCAACAUUACUAAUCAUUAGAGAAAUACAAAUCAAAACCAUAAUGAGAUACCAUCUUAUGCCUGUCAGAACGGUUAUCAUUAAAAAGUCAAGAAACAACAGAUGCUGGCAAGGUUGUGGAGAAAAAGGAACACUUUUACACUGUUGGUGGGAGUGUAAAUGAGUUCAACCAUUGUGGAAGACAGUGUGGUGAUUCCUCAAAGACCUAGAGGCAGAAAUAUCACUUCACUCAGCAAUCUCAUUACUGCGUAUAUAUACCCAGAGGAAUAGAUCAUUCUGUUAUAAAGAUACAUGUGUGCAUAUGUUCAUUGCAGCUUUAUUCAUAAUAGCAAAGACUUGUAAUCAACCUAAAUGUCCAUCAAUGAUAGACUAGAUAAAGAAAAUGUGGUUACAUAUGUACCAUGGAAUACUGUGCAGCCAUAAAAAGGAAUGAGAUCAUGUUCUUUGCAGGGACGUGGAUGGAGCUGGAAGCCAUUAUCCUCAGCAAACUAAUGCAGGAACAGAAAACCAAAUACCACAUGUUCUCACUUAUAAGUGGGAACUGAAUGUUGAGAACACAUGAACACAUAGUGGGGAACAACACACACUGGGGCCUGUCGGAGGGUGUGGGUGGGAGGAGGGAGAGGGUCAGGAAGAAUAGCUAAUGGAUGCUGCACUUAAUACCUAGGUGAUGGGACUAUCUGUACAGCAAACCACCAUGGCACACAUUUACCUAUGUAACAAACCUGCAUAUCCUGCACAGGUACCCCUGAACUUAAAAUAAAAGUUGGAAAAAAAGAUAUUUAAAAGGAAUGU